UCUUGGGCCAGGAAGCCUGAGGCAGACAAAAAGGAGGCAGAUUCAGCAUCCAGCUGCACAGGGAUCCCUACAGAUGUCCUGGCCACAGACCUUGAGUCUCUCUUUGGCCUGGAUGUUCUGCGACUGCAACUUCAUGAGAAGAUCCAGGAGGCCUGGGGCCAGGGCAGUGCCAAGGAGCUGUCCCCUGCUGCCCUGGAGUAAAGGCGGUGGAGAAAGAGGGAACGGGACUGGCAAAAGAAGAAGCGAGAGGAGCUGUGGGCAAAAUAGAAGACCAAGAAGGCUGAGGAGGUUACAAAGGCCCUGUAGGCAGUCAAGCCAACCCCUGAAGGGGCCUGCAGGAAGCUGCAGGAGCCUCCAGGACUGAUCUUCAACAAGGUGUAGGUGAGCAAAGAGGAGUCAGCCAGCAAGUAGCAGUGCAGAAAGAAGAAGCAGAGUGUGAAGGGAAAGGAAACUUACACCACUGACAGGGAGGAACUACCUGCAGCUGCUGAAGCAUCUGGAUGAGCUGAGUGGCCAGGGUGAGGGGAAGGCACAGCAGCUGUAGGCCAAGAUGAAGUGGACCAAUCUCCUGUACAAGACAGAGGAUGUGAUGAUCCACCACGAUGAUUGCCUGCUGCAGGAGGCCCUGAAGCCCAAGGAGAAUCACAGCGCCCAGCAGCACAGCGAGUGGGAGAAGCGCAACUCAGGCGUGGUAGAGAAGAUGCAUCAGUGCCAAGACCUGCUGGCAGCAGAACCUGCACAAGAAGAAGGUGGCCCACAUCCAGCACCGAAUGCUCAGAGCCCACAAGAACUGUAUCCUGCUGCAGGACCUGGAGCUUGCAGGCCUA
rnacentral:lncRNA from 1 species